rnacentral:tRNA from 1 species
GCCUCGGUGGUGUAACGGAAGCACACCGGAUCGCUAAUUCGGAGGCGGAGGUUCGACCCCUUCCCCGAGGCCCCG